UACGUUACCAGACUACGAGUCAGCCAUCUCUUCUUCGUUCGGAAGAGAUGGCUGACCCGACCCGACACUACCAACAGCGGCUUAGAAAGACGUCAUAGAAAGCGGCGAAAAAAAGAGACUUUAAAAAGAGUAAAAAAGUAAAGUAUGUAAUUAAGUAAAAAGAGACAUUUUUAAUUUAAUAGCAACGAUGACAAGACGGAAAACAGGUAAUUUAUCAAGGUAAUUUUGCCGGCAUCUGAGGGGAGACACGUCAUCUCCAAACAUCCGGUGGAGUUACGGCGGUGUUCGGAAGAGUUCAGAGGCGUUCUACGCAUAGCUGUAGACCGUUCUAGGCGUUGUACGGUCAAGUAGUAGACACUGAACAUAAAUAGUGUGUACUAAGUAUUCAGAUUCAGCCCAGGUAUUACUGAAGGCAUUUAAUGGUCAAAAUAUUUUUAAUAAAUAUUCGAAUAUAUUCGAAUACUAAUAUUAAUAAACAAACGAACUUCGAAUAUGAUUUUUGGCCAAAAGUCAAAGCCCUAGUAUACAAUGAAACCAGAGCUUCGGUUGUAACCGAAUUAAAAUCGGCCUCCUUCAUUGCCCUGACCUCAGACAUGUGGUCAUCCGUGAACAUGACGCCAUGUCUCUCACAGCCCAUUAUAUAAGCAAAGACUGGCAACUGGAGGCGAAGUGUUUGGCCACAUCCUUCGUCCCAGAAAAUCAAACGAAAGAUGUGCUGGCAGACGCCCUCAAAGUCGGCGCUCAAGAGUGGGGCAUAGAGGAAGAGAAGAUAUCCUGCAUCACAACCGACAAUGGUGCAAACAUUAUUGCAGCCGUCCGGGAGCUCAAAUGGCCCUGGUUGAACUGCUUUGGACAUAAUUUGAAUAUGGCCAUAAACAACGCACUUGACGGAGAAAAGGAUCGCACUAGUCGUGCGUUUGGGGUCUGCCGGGCAAUCAACGGCGCCUUUUCUCAUAGUUGGCAACGGAAACGGGAGCUGAGCAAAGCCCAGGAUGAGCUACCACUCCCCAACCAUGCUUUGAUUACGGACUGUGCAACACGUUGGGGUUCGAAGCAGAAGAUGGCAGAGAGGAUACUGGAACAGGCCACAGCAAUCAAGAGGGUUUUCGCAAACGACAGAAGCCCCCGUCCCCUGCCAAACCUGACGUGGCAAGAUGAAGCUGUGCUGGAGGCAGUGAGUCUCUUCCUUGCUGCCCACGCUACAAUUAUUGAAAGACAACGUCUUGAAGGAAGACGACGAUGACGUCCGGAUGACGUCCGUCAUUAAAAGCGGGGUGCUGCUGGAACUAGAUAACAAAUACGACAAUGAAGCGUCAUUAAAAUUAAUGCGCUUAUCUGCUCUCCAUAUCGAUGCCGUUUCCCUCGACAGCACGAGAGUUUGAUUGGAGGCAGAGAUGGUGUCAUUCUGCAGGAGGCAGACCACCGGACAGGUAAGGGUCAGAGUGGAGGAUGUUGAGACGGAGCAGCCAGUGGCACCUAUUCCACCACCACCACCACCUAAGAAAAUAAAACCUUCCCUGGGUAGCCUUUUGAGAAAGGCGAAGCAACCUUUGACACUCACUGAGGAGCAACGGGCAAACGCAGAAGUAACAGCCUACCUGCAAGAAGAUGCACUGGAUGGGGACAGUGACCCACUCGCAUGGUGGAAGGCAAACGAGAACCGCUUUCCGUUAAUGGCCAAGAUUGCGAGUAAAUAUCUUUGUAUAUGCGCUACUAGUUCACUUUCUGAGCGUGUAUUUAGCACUGCAGGCAACGUUGUCACGCCACUGAGGAGCUUGUUGAAGCCAGAAAAGGUGAAUAUGCUGGUGUUCUUGUCCAGAAACCUGUAGGCUAUGCACACACUUUAAAAUGUGUAUUUAUUAUUAGGCUUUUAGGCAUACAUUUGGACUAUUUCGUUCCUCUGAAUCCAAAUUAGGUUUUCUUUCGAUUGGUUCUACAGUCUGCAAUAUUCCUAGCAAAUGUUUGCAAAAUGCCCAUUUUUAUUUUAUUUGCUCUGAAAUAAUUUAUUUUCAUUUUCUUAAUUUGCGAAAUUGACACUUAGACUUAAUUUUAAAUUGUAUUUAUUAUUAUGCUUUUAGGCCUACUUGCAUGAACAAUACAAUUGGACCAUUAUUGUUUGUCAGCUAAAGCUUGUAAACAUUGGAUUAUUCGUUCCUUUGAAUCCAAAUUUCGUUUUCUUUCGACUGCGUUCUGCAGUCUGCAAUGGGCCUAGCCAAUUUUGUGCCCAUUUCUAUUUUAUUUGCUCUGCCAGCAUUUUUUUUUCGUUUUAAAAGAGUUUUGUGAAGACUUCGCCAUCUGUUAUACUUGUGUUAUGUUCAAUACUCAGUUAUAAUUGUUCUUUAAAAGCGUUUUGUAAGUGGGCCUACAUAUAUAGCCUCCCUUGAAGCGAAUGUCUUAUUAUUCUGUUCCAAAUAAACCCGGCAACCUUUUGACUUGGAUGUUUUUAUGUGAACGUCAAUGGGACUGUCUUAUGCACACCGACAUAAUUAUAUGAAAUUG
ensembl:lncRNA